rnacentral:rRNA from 1 species
AUUUUGAACCGCAUGGUUCAAAAGUGAAAGACGGUCUUGCUGUCACUUAUAGAUGGAUCCGCGCUGCAUUAGCUAGUUGGUAAGGUAACGGCUUACCAAGGCAACGAUGCAUAGCCGACCUGAGAGGGUGAUCGGCCACACUGGAACUGAGACACGGUCCAGACUCCUACGGGAGGCAGCAGUAGGGAAUCUUCCGCAAUGGGCGAAAGCCUGACGGAGCAACGCCGCGUGAGUGAUGAAGGUCUUCGGAUCGUAAAACUCUGUUAUUAGGGAAGAACAUAUGUGUAAGUAACUGUGCACAUCUUGACGGUACCUAAUCAGAAAGCCACGGCUAACUACGUGCCAGCAGCCGCGGUAAUACGUAGGUGGCAAGCGUUAUCCGGAAUUAUUGGGCGUAAAGCGCGCGUAGGCGGUUUUUUAAGUCUGAUGUGAAAGCCCACGGCUCAACCGUGGAGGGUCAUUGGAAACUGGAAAACUUGAGUGCAGAAGAGGAAAGUGGAAUUCCAUGUGUAGCGGUGAAAUGCGCAGAGAUAUGGAGGAACACCAGUGGCGAAGGCGACU